GUGCUCGCUUCGGCAGCACAUAUACUAAAAUUGGAACGAUACAGAGAAGAUUAGCAUGGCCCCUGCGCCAGGAUGACACGCAGAUUCAUGAAGAAGUUAUAUGAUUUU
ensembl:snRNA U6 U6 spliceosomal RNA